UUAGUGGCGGACGGGUGAGUAACGCGUGGAAAACCUGCCGUAUACUGGGGGAUAACACUUAGAAAUAGGUGCUAAUACCGCAUAAGCGCACAGCUUCGCAUGAAGCGGUGUGAAAAACUCUGGUGGUAUACGAUGGUUCCGCGUCUGAUUAGCUAGUUGGUGGGGUAAUGGCCUACCAAGGCAACGAUCAGUAACCGGCCUGAGAGGGUGAACGGCCACAUUGGGACUGAGACACGGCCCAAACUCCUACGGAAGGCAGCAG
rnacentral:rRNA from 1 species